rnacentral:rRNA from 1 species
UACGUAGGGGGCUAGCGUUGUCCGGAAUCAUUGGGCGUAACGCGCGUGUAGGCGGUCCGGUAAGUCCGCUGUGAAAGUCGGGGGCUCAACCCUCGGAUGCCGGUGGAUACUGUCGGGCUUGAGUACGGAAGGGGCGAGUGGAAUUCCUGGUGUAGCGGUGAAAUGCGCAGAUAUCAGGAGGAACACCAAUGGCGAAGGCAGCUCGCUGGGACGUGACUGACGCUGAGACGCGAAAGCGUGGGGAGCAAACAGG